rnacentral:rRNA from 1 species
CCUACGGGUGGCAGCAGUGAGGAAUAUUGGUCAAUGGACGAGAGUCUGAACCAGCCAAGUAGCGUGAAUGAUGACUGCCCUAUGGGUUGUAAACUUCUUUUAUAUGGGAAUAAAACGUUCCACGUGUGGGAUUUUGUAUGUACCAUAUGAAUAAGGAUCGGCUAACUCCGUGCCAGCAGCCGCCGUAAUACGGAGGAUCCGAGCGUUAUCCGGAUUUAUUGGGUUUAAAGGGAGCGUAGGUGGAUUGUUAAGUCAGUUGUGAAAGUUUGCGGCUCAACCGUAAAAUUGCAGUUGAAACUGGCAGUCUUGAGUACAGUAGAGGUGGGCGGAAUUCGUGGUGUAGCGGUGAAAUGCUUAGAUAUCACGAAGAACUCCGAUUGCGAAGGCAGUUCACUGGACUGCAACUGACACUGAGGCUCGAAAGUGUGGGUAUCAAACAGGAUUAGAUACCCGUGUAGUC